GACGAACGCUGGCGGCGUGCCUAAUACAUGCAAGUAGGACGCAGUUGCGAACGGGUGAGUAACGCGUAGGUAACUACCUAUUAGAGGGGGAUAACUAUUGGAAACGAUAGCUAAUACCGCAUACUAGUAGAUGGAGCUGCGUUGUAUUAGCUAGGAGGUCGGGUAAUGGCCUACCUAGGCAACGCUACAUAGCCGACCUGUGGGGGUGAUAGGCCACACUGGGACUGGGACACGGGCCAGACUCCUACGGGGGGCAGCAGUAGGGAAUGUUCGGCAAUGGGGGGAAACCUGACGGAGCAACGCCGCGUGAGUGGAGAAGGUUUUCGGAGCGUAAAGCUCUGUUGUUAAGGAAGCGGUACUUAACCAGAAAGGGACGGCUAACUACGUGCCAGCAGCCGCGGUAAUAC
rnacentral:rRNA from 1 species